GGGUGGUAAUGCCGGAUGUUCCACAUGAUCGCAUGUGAUUGUGGGAAAGAUUCUAUCGGCGUGGGAUGGGGUCGCGUCCUAUCAGCUUGUUGGUGAGGUAACGGCUCACCAAGGCUUCGACGGGUAGCCGGCCUGAGAGGGCGACCGGCCACAUUGGGACUGAGAUACGGCCCAGACUCCUACGGGAGGCAGCAGUGGGGAAUAUUGCACAAUGGGCGCAAGCCUGAUGCAGCGACGCCGCGUGAGGGAUGGAGGCCUUCGGGUUGUAAACCUCUUUUGUUUGGGAGCAAGCCUUCGGGUGAGUGUACCUUUCGAAUAAGCGCCGGCUAACUACGUGCCAGCAGCCGCGGUAAUACGUAGGGCGCAAGCGUUAUCCGGAUUUAUUGGGCGUAAAGGGCUCGUAGGCGGCUCGUCGCGUCCGGUGUGAAAGUCCAUCGCUUAACGGUGGAUCUGCGCCGGGUACGGGCGGGCUGGAGUGCGGUAGGGGAGACUGGAAUUCCCGGUGUAACGGUGGAAUGUGUAGAUAUCGGA
rnacentral:rRNA from 1 species